GAUAAACGCUGGCGGCGUGCCUAAUACAUGCAAGUCGAGCGAACGGACGAGAAGCUUGCUUCUCUGAUGUUAGCGGCGGACGGGUGAGUAACACGUGGAUAACCUACCUAUAAGACUGGGAUAACUUCGGGAAACCGGAGCUAAUACCGGAUAAUAUUUUGAACCGCAUGGUUCAAAAGUGAAAGACGGUCUUGCUGUCACUUAUAGAUGGAUCCGCGCUGCAUUAGCUAGUUGGUAAGGUAACGGCUUACCAAGGCAACGAUGCAUAGCCGACCUGAGAGGGUGAUCGGCCACACUGGAACUGAGACACGGUCCAGACUCCUACGGGAGGCUGCAGUAGGGAAUCUUCCGCAAUGGGCGAAAGCCUGACGGAGCAACGCCGCGUGAGUGAUGAAGGUCUUCGGAUCGUAAAACUCUGUUAUUAGGGAAGAACAUAUGUGUAAGUAACUGUGCACAUCUUGACGGUACCUAAUCAGAAAGCCACGGCUAACUACGUGCCAGCAGCCGCGGUAAUACGUAGGUGGCAAGCGUUAUCCGGAAUUAUUGGGCGUAAAGCGCGCGUAGGCGGUUUUUUAAGUCUGAUGUGAAAGCCCACGGCUCAACCGUGGAGGGUCAUUGGAAACUGGAAAACUUGAGUGCAGAAGAGGAAAGUGGAAUUCCAUGUGUAGCGGUGAAAUGCGCAGAGAUAUGGAGGAACACAGUGGGCGAAGGCGACUUUCUGGUCUGUAACUGACGCUGAUGUGCGAAAGCGUGGGGAUCAACCAGGAUUAGAUACCCUGGUAGUCCACGCCGUAAACGAUGAGUGCUAAGUGUUAGGGGGUUUCCGCCCCUUAGUGCUGCAGCUAACGCAUUAAGCACUCCGCCUGGGGAGUACGACCGCAAGGUUGAAACUCAAAGGAAUUGACGGGGACCCGCACAAGCGGUGGAGCAUGUGGUUUAAUUCGAAGCAACGCGAAGAACCUUACCAAAUCUUGACAUCCUUUGACAACUCUAGAGAUAGAGCCUUCCCCUUCGGGGGACAAAGUGACAGGUGGUGCAUGGUUGUCGUCAGCUCGUGUCGUGAGAUGUUGGGUUAAGUCCCGCAACGAGCGCAACCCUUAAGCUUAGUUGCCAUCAUUAAGUUGGGCACUCUAAGUUGACUGCCGGUGACAAACCGGAGGAAGGUGGGGAUGACGUCAAAUCAUCAUGCCCCUUAUGAUUUGGGCUACACACGUGCUACAAUGGACAAUACAAAGGGCAGCGAAACCGCGAGGUCAAGCAAAUCCCAUAAAGUUGUUCUCAGUUCGGAUUGUAGUCUGCAACUCGACUACAUGAAGCUGGAAUCGCUAGUAAUCGUAGAUCAGCAUGCUACGGUGAAUACGUUCCCGGGUCU
rnacentral:rRNA from 1 species